UGGGGAAUAUUGCACAAUGGGCGCAAGCCUGAUGCAGCCAUGCCGCGUGUGUGAAGAAGGCCUUCGGGCUGUAAAGCACUUUCAGCGGGGAGGAAGGCGUUAAGGUUAAUAACCUUGGCGAUUGACGUUACCCGCAGAAGAAGCACCGGCUAACUCCGUGCCAGCAGCCGCGGUAAUACGGAGGGUGCAAGCGUUAAUCGGAAUUACUGGGCGUAAAGCGCACGCAGGCGGUCUGUCAAGUCGGAUGUGAAAUCCCCGGGCUCAACCUGGGAACUGCAUUCGAAAGUGGCAGGCUAGAGUCUUGUAGAGGGGGGUAGAAUUCCAGGUGUAGCGGUGAAAUGCGUAGAGAUCUGGAGGAAUACCGGUGGCGAAGGCGGCCCCCUGGACAAAGACUGACGCUCAGGUGCGAAAGCGUGGGGAGCAAACAGG
rnacentral:rRNA from 1 species